rnacentral:rRNA from 1 species
AGAUUGAACGCUGGCGGCAGGCCUAACACAUGCAAGUCGAGCGGCAGCACGGGUACUUGUACCUGGUGGCGAGCGGCGGACGGGUGAGUAAUGCCUAGGAAUCUGCCUGGUAGUGGGGGAUAACGCUCGGAAACGGACGCUAAUACCGCAUACGUCCUACGGGAGAAAGCAGGGGACCUUCGGGCCUUGCGCUAUCAGAUGAGCCUAGGUCGGAUUAGCUAGUUGGUGAGGUAAUGGCUCACCAAGGCGACGAUCCGUAACUGGUCUGAGAGGAUGAUCAGUCACACUGGAACUGAGACACGGUCCAGACUCCUACGGGAGGCAGCAGUGGGGAAUAUUGGACAAUGGGCGAAAGCCUGAUCCAGCCAUGCCGCGUGUGUGAAGAAGGUCUUCGGAUUGUAAAGCACGUUUAAGUUGGAGAGGCAGUAAUAAUACUUGCUGUUUGACGUUCGACAGAAUAAGCAACGGCUAACUC